AAACAACCUGAAGACAGAUUCCAUAGAAGAACUUAUCCCCAGAUUUAUAUUCUAAUAUUUUUUUCCUUUUCCGCUGGAUGCAGGGUAGUAUUUCUAAAUCCAUAUUUAUUUACAACUUGCACUUCAGCAAACAGCUGCAACAUGAUGCUAGUCCUGAACCAAGAAGAUCAAGAUAGAGCCAGUGAGUUUCCCAGGCACACAUCAUCAGUCCCAACAAAAGGCUGGUUAAACUCUUGUGGAUAUUAAAAUUACAUCUAAUUUGGAAGGAAAUGCCAGAGCAUUGAGAUGUUAGACACUAACACUCAGAUGAGUACUUUCAUAAAUCUCCAUCUAGUUUGGUAUUCCAUCAUGAUGACACAAAAAGCCCAGAAUAAAAUAAGCCACAGAUAAAAAGGCCUACUGUUCAAGCUUUGACUUACAAACUCUCUCCCAAAUCUAGUCUAAAAGCAAAUGUAGAUGAUAUCAGCACCAGCUGUAGGUUUCAGAGAGGGCAAUGCAGUUAAGCAUGACCGUAGGAAGGAGGAAAGAAGCCAGAGGAUUUUCAGAAAAAAAAGCUGUCCUAAUUGGUUGGCUACAAUUGACUGAAAAAGAAGGAAGGAGGGGGAGAAAAUCAGGACAUGAGGAACAUGAAGACAAGAGGGAAGGAGUAUUUGUUCUUCCUCUGAGAACAGCUGAGCAUUUUCAUGUGCAGAGAAGUCCUUUGAUGGCAGC
ensembl:lncRNA